UGAAGAUCAAUCUCACUGCAAUGGGAAAGCACAUCUUGCUGCUCCUAUUGGGUCUGUGUUUGCUGGUGAACUCCCUCCAAGCUUUGACAUGUGUCACGUGUGAAAGGUUCAAUUCUCAGGGGAUUUGUGAGAGAGGAGAAGGAUGCUGUCAGGCUAAACCUGGUCAGAAAUGUGCCUCACUUAUAACCUAUAGAGAUGGCAAAUUUCUGCUUGGAAGCCAGAGAUGUGCUGAUGUUUGCUUUAAAGGGACUGUUGAGAAUGGAGGUCUGACUGCAAAAAUGAAGUGUUGCUCAAAGUCUUUCUGUAAUACAGUAAAUAUAUGAUACUUAAUUGUACUGUUGGAUUUUAGUGUUCUUUAUUGAGUCUUGACCCUGGAUCAUGCCAGAAAGAACUGCCUACUGACCAUGUCUGGAGCCCUCAUGGUGCAUCCUACAUCAUGUUUUCUGACUACAUGUAUAACAUCAUAUGUUCUUGAAUGCUCUGUAAUAUAUUGUAGCCCUUAUAAAUUUUAAUUGGAUCUAUAUACUGUUU
rnacentral:lncRNA from 1 species